AGACAGUGGACUGAUCCAAGAGCCCAGUCUUGAUCAGCCCAGACUGAGGGGACCUUAAGAGAUGGGAAGACUGACAUUUACAACUUCCCCAACUGGCCGUGAUGAUCUUAAGUACAGCCACUGAGGAAGCCAACUUAAGAAUCUCUUCCUGACCCUGCUCAGAAUUCUAUCAUCCUUCUUCCUGCCCCAAAUAAAAUUCCCAUUUCCAGAGUUCUUGGUAACAGCUAAAUGCUAAUCUAAUUAAAGUCACUGCACUCCAAAGAAGAGCUGAGGCAGCUUAACACGUCUAGAGAGUGUUUUACACUUGAAAAUGGGACAUCUUUAGUUGGUAAAAUAUGUUAGAGAUAUUUCUGAGUUUAAAGCAGGAGAGGAGUGGUGAGGGGUUGACUCCAUCUUAUUUUGUCUGGUCAACAUCCAUCCCCUUAUCUGUCUUUCCAGAAAGAAAAACUACAUGGAAUGAGGAAAUAGACCACUCCUGCCUUCAAAAUCCUCUUCGUGAGGUUUAUAGAAUUCCUAAGAACUCAGGAAAGACAUCAGCAGAGAGCAAUGAUCGUCAUAGCCAGCAGCCCUGCCACAUGGCAUUCAGCCUCUGCCUGAAUACCCAAGGGACAAGCGGAUCACCACCUUACCCAACCCAUUGUUGAGGGAGCUCUGCCUCCUAGAAAGCACUUCGGGAUACUGAGCUGCCAGUUGCCUCCCUAUACCUAACACUCUGUUGUUAGGCCUCUGGGGCCAUGCAGAAUUCAUCUAAAUCCUUUUUCACCUGAUCAUCUUUCCUACAUUAAGACAGCAUGGAACAGUGGGAAGAGAACCACCCAGGGGCUACUUAAUGCCACUCUAGGCUGCCUCCUUCUCUCUCCCACCCUGGUCCACCAGGCUUGAGUAAAGUAUUCUCACCUUGAAGAUGACACGGAUGUUCUCACCCAGGGGAUCCACAUUUUGGAAGGAGAGUUUGAGGGGGACAGCAUUGGAGUUGAAGUAGGAACAGUCCUGCCAUGGUGAAAAGAUAGUGACGAGGGUCAGAGUGGCCCAUGCCAGGAAAGGAAAACGACCUCUCCACUUCAGACCAAGAUGCUGCCUCCCCGCUGCUGCCGGUCCACCCAAGACCUGCUCAUUGUUUCUUCCGGAUUUCCCAGAAACCCAAUUUCCUUCCUUCUCUUGUUAAAUAGUCAUCAUCCCAAUUCAGUUUGUUAUGACCUCAGCUCCAGCACUUAACCUCCCAUCCUGUUAGUUCAUUCUGCGCACAACUUACUAGUUGUGUGACCUCUGGUAAGUCACAUGUCCCAUCUACACCUCAGUUUACUCCUCUGUAAAAGGGGACUCCCAAUAGUACCAACAUCCUAAGAGUUGUGAAGAUGAAAUGCCAUAACCAACAUUAAGCACUCAGAACAGGGCCGGGCACAGAGAGUGCUCAAUAAAUGACAGAUGACAGCUGCUAUCACCACCACCACCUCCGACUUCAUCCCCAACAUCAUCAGAGAAAGACACCUGCCUAGCCGCCCAACCUCCAACCCAAUUCCUCUACCCUGCAAGCUGUCAGGCUUCUAAAAGUCCAUACACAUUAGGAAUGGGAAGAGGCCACAGAUAUGCCUUUCUUCCUAAUCUCUCUCUUAUUUUAUGGCUUAUAUGGAGAUGCUCACCUGUGCCCAUACCCCCGUCUGUGCCCUCAUUCUGUCUUUAAGCAGAGUUCACAGCCCCUCUGCCUCGUUUCUCCUUUCUAUUUCUGCCAUGUGUGGGUAGAGGAGAGACAGGAUAACAUAAUCCUCACCAUGUUGCAUGGGGGUGAGCUGAGACCCCUGAGGAAAAGAUGCUAGGCCAAGACCACAUGGUAAGUUAGCAACAUACUGACGCCCAGACAACUCAGCUCCUCGACCUUGCAUGCCUGGUUAGUGAAGACCUCACCUCCACUGAGCCCUCCCACUCUGAGAGCCCCAAACCUACCAGUCACUCACCCUGGGCACAAUUCCCUUAACCAGCAGACUGGGGCUGAGUGGCAAGCGGCACGAGCCAUUGAGGGCAAAGAACUGCUUCACCUCCUCCAGGCCCGUGCGGAGGAUUCCCUGGAAAGAAGGGGAGGAGUACAGCAGGGGUGAAAUGGAGGGUCCAUACUGAGAACCAGACCUCUCCCAGGGGUGGGUUCUCCGUAGUAGUCGGUAUGAAAACCACCCCCUGAGAAGUGUGGACACCCUCCAGAAGAUCCUUAAGGAGGAGGACCCCCUACACCCCAGCCUGGGACUGUACGCUAACAGCAAGACCAAAUAGCUCUAGAGGGGAGCAGAUGGCAGAACAGCAUGAAGCAGGCCACAGUGCACAGAGAGGGCAGGCUGUCUCUCAAGGGGGAAGAGCUAUUUAGGCUUCUGCCAAGAAAAGCUAACAAUCUGGACGUUGAUACAAAAUCUCUCAAUUUUUAAAUGUCGUUAACCAGGAACACUGCUGGCUGGUUACAAUGUCUUCGUACAAACAGAUAAAGGUGUCCUCUCUGGGUGGCAUCAGGCCUGAGCCAUGGGUCACAGCAUGGUGAACAAAAUAUGGCUGGAUUUCAGCCCUCACUUGCCCCUUCUGGCUGAGUGCUCUUGUGCAAUGAACAACUUACACAACUGUGCUUAGCCUUUAAAACAAACAGCUAAAUAAAUUUCAAUAUUUUACAGGACAAACAAAACACAUCCACGGGCUGUAUCCAGCUUGUGGACUGCCUGUUUACGGCCUAGUUUCCAGAGUCAGCUGCUCCCCGCUCCAAAAUCAAAAAUCGUCACGUGGAAUCUUGUUGUUCAGGAUUCCUAAGAAGAAACUGGCUGCCAAAGCCCUGGAUGAGAAAUGGGUAGGGGCAGCCUCACCCCACUAACCUGCCUUGCAGAUGGGGCUGCCUCCCGGACCUGCUGGGCCAGUUUGGCCAGGGCAUUGACAAGCCAGCACUGGCGGUUAAACUCUUCUCUCAGCCCCUUGCCACAGCAGCACAGUAAGGCUGCCAGCAGAUACUGGUAGCGGAUGCUGAACUGAGAGUCCUUGAGGCCGUCCUUCAGUAACCUGCAAGGCAGAGGGAGUCAGGAGUCAGGGCACUCCAGGGAUCAAAGGCAAGGGUACAGGGGGAGACAGAGUCAGGCCCAGCUCCAACUCACUGCAAAACCCACCCCGAACUUGGGAGGGAAAAUACAUUCUGUAUGUACGGCUCAUAUGGAGAUGCUCACCUGUGCCCAUACCCCAGUCUGUGCCCUCACUCUGUCUUUAAGUAGAGUUCACAGCCCCUCUGCAUCUUGUUUCUCCUUUCUAUUUCUGCCAUGUGUGGGUAGAGGAGAGACAGGAUAACAUAAUCCUCACUAUGUUACAUGGGGUGAGCUGAGACCCCUGAGGAAAAGAUGCUGGUCCAAGGCCACAGGGUAAGUCAGCACAUACUGAAGCCCGGACAACUCAGUUCCUUGCCCUUGCGUGCCUAAGAGUGAAAUACUCCUACGUGAAAGACACGUGUCUACCUCCCACUUUUCUACAUGCAGUUUUACCAGAAGAAGUAGUGAGUCACUCUCAAGUCAGACACAGCUCGUUUCAGGAGGAAGCGCACCAACGGGCUGUCCAGGUAGCAUUCAUACUUCAGGGCCUGUUUCGGAGAAAGGGAGAAAGAGAAUAUGAAGCUUCAUUAACUGCCUGUAACCUACACUUAUUAUUAUUGCACUGGGAUCUCUGGUUUCUAAGGGGCAGAAUGCAGACUCACUUGGGAUACUGGGGAUGGGACCAGCAAAACUGGAGGGAGGACCAAUCCACCCACCUGUACCAGCUGGGGCAGGUAGUCUAGCAGCUCAGCAUCUGAGAGUGAGCCAAUCCACUGCACAGCCAUACGA
rnacentral:lncRNA from 10 species